rnacentral:rRNA from 1 species
GAUGAACGCUGGCGGCGUGCCUAAUACAUGCAAGUCGAGCGAACGGACGAGAAGCUUGCUUUUCUGAUGUUAGCGGCGGACGGGUGAGUAACACGUGGAUAACCUACCUAUAAGACUGGGAUAACUUCGGGAAACCGGAGCUAAUACCGGAUAAUAUUUUGAACCGCAUGGUUCAAAAGUGAAAGACGGUCUUGCUGUCACUUAUAGAUGGAUCCGCGCUGCAUUAGCUAGUUGGUAAGGUAACGGCUUACCAAGGCAACGAUGCAUAGCUGACCUGAGAGGGUGAUCGGCCACACUGGAACUGAGACACGGUCCAGACUCCUACGGGAGGCAGCAGUAGGGAAUCUUCCGCAAAGGGCGAAAGCCUGACGGAGCAACGCCGCGUGAGCGAUGAAGGUCUUCGGAUCGUAAAACUCUGUUAUUAGGGAAGAACAUAUGUGUAAGUAACUGUGCACAUCUUGACGGUACCUAAUCAGAAAGCCACGGCUAACUACGUG